rnacentral:rRNA from 1 species
UACGUGGGGGGCAAGCGUUGUUCGGAAUUACUGGGCGUAAAGGGCUCGUAGGCGGCUUUUCAAGUCGGGCGUGAAAUCUCCGGGCUUAACCCGGAAGGGUCGUUCGAUACUGUUGAGCUAGAGUGUGGAAGAGGCAACUAGAAUUCCGUGUGUAGCGGUGAAGUGCGUAGAUAUACGGAGGAAUACCUGAGGCGAAGGCGGGUUGCUGGGCCAACACUGACGCUGAAGUGCGAAAGCCAGGGGAGCAAACGGG